ensembl:lncRNA LINC01579 long intergenic non-protein coding RNA 1579
GCUGCAAAGACACCGGCUGCACCAGGGGAGGUGCCGCCAGAGCUGCGCACUCAGCAAAGCCAGGGUGCCCACAGCAGAAUCCACAUGCCGUCCAUCUGGUCCAGCCUCACGCAGAGCCACAACUGUGCUGGCGCCUGGAGCUGCCAGCCCCACUGCAGCAGCCGGACUGACAUUCAGACGUGGAGCAAGUUGGACUGCAUAGGGACCCACCAGUGAGAUGGACGCUGUCUGUAAACGGUUCUCCAGGGAGGCUGCUCUGCCAAGUCUGGUAUUUCAUGAAUAGAUCUGAAAACAGACAUUAUCUCUUCUCCCAGUGAAGAGAGAGCGAUGAAGCCUCAGGACAAAAGGAGGCAGUGGGAUGAUGCCACCAAGGGACCAUUCUGAAGAGCCAUCAGCAAAAAGCAGCCACACCUGCUUAUGUGGCUCUGGGACAAAUGAUCUGAGCCGUGACGUGGAACUUAGAUGCAGUAAAGUCCAUUGUAUUGAGCCUUCUCUGGCACUCCUCCCAAAACAGAGAGACAACAGUUCUGUUAUGUUUUGUUUGGUUUGGUCUCCCUCAACUCAUCAAUGAGCCUUUUUAAAAAGAAUAAUUCGGUACUUUCUUUAAAGGUGGUAGAAUUGGCUCUUACUCUAGUCUGUUUUCUCCUUCCUAAGGGAGGAGCAUCCUUCUUGUUAACACAGAACCCCAAACUAUCUGAUCAGAAAGAAAAUAAUUCAAUCUGCUGUUUGAAUUGACUUCCAGCAGCGUCUUAAAUUUUAAUUGGCCCCCGGCCUAAAACAACCUCAAACUGUAUGUCUUCCAUACUCCUCUCACCACCACCAUCACCACUGCCCCUACAACCACUCUAAGCAUAGUACAUAUGGUGAACAUACCAUGAUAUUGAAUGCUAUUCUCACUCUGCCUUCUCUUAAUCUGAUCUUACUCAGGUUCUGACAGUUGACGCUGAAAACAUUUUUUGUUGUUGUUGUGGUUGAGACAGAGUUUCGCACUUGUUGCCCAGGCUGGAGUACAGUGGUGCGAUCUCGGCUCACUGCAACCUCCGCCUCCCGGGUUCAAGUGAUUCUCCUGCCUCAGCUCCCCAAGUAGCUGGGAUUACAGGCAUGUGCCACCAUGCCUGACUAAGUUUGUAUUUUUAGUAGAGACGGGGUUUCUCCAUGUUGGUCAGGCUGAUCUCGAACUCCCGACCUCAGGUGAUCCGCCUGCCUCGGCCUCCCAAAGUGCUGGGAUUACUGGUGUGAGCCACCAUGCCCGGCCAUGACACUGAAAACAUUUUAAAGGAGAAACAGAUUACCAAUUAUCCAUAAAGAUGAGAAUUAUCUGGCAACAUUUUGGUUAGAUGAAAACUGUGACUAGAGAGCUAACAAAAACAAACACAAUGAGCACUAGAUAUCUGCCAGGCAUUGUUCACAGCCCCUUUUUUGGUCUCAUCUGAUCCUUGCUGUAGAUCAGGAAUCAACAAACUAAGCUUUCACCACUUGUCAGGGGUAAAGCCAUGUCAGUCUGAGUCCCAAUGCCACACUGUUAGCCACUCUCCCACACCACCUGCUCCAACUAUUUGAAGAAGGAGAAUGUUUUUCCAGUUAAUAAAGUUAAUAGUUAAAAAC